GAACCACUUCGGUGGGGAUUAGUGGCGAACGGGUGAGUAACACGUGGGCAAUCUGCCCUGCACUCUGGGACAAGCCCUGGAAACGGGGUCUAAUACCGGAUACGACUACCGACCGCAUGGUCUGGUGGUGGAAAGCUCCGGCGGUGCAGGAUGAGCCCGCGGCCUAUCAGCUUGUUGGUGAGGUAACGGCUCACCAAGGCGACGACGGGUAGCCGGCCUGAGAGGGCGACCGGCCACACUGGGACUGAGACACGGCCCAGACUCCUACGGGAGGCAGCAGUGGGGAAUAUUGCACAAUGGGCGAAAGCCUGAUGCAGCGACGCCGCGUGAGGGAUGACGGCCUUCGGGUUGUAAACCUCUUUCAGCAGGGAAGAAGCGCAAGUGACGGUACCUGCAGAAGAAGCGCCGGCUAACUACGUGCCAGCAGCCGCGGUAAUACGUAGGGCGCGAGCGUUGUCCCGGAAUUAUUGGGCGUAAAGAGCUCGUAAGCGGCUUGUCGCGUCGGUUGUGAAAGCCCGGGGCUUAACCCCGGUCUGCAGUCGAUACGGGAGGCU
rnacentral:rRNA from 1 species